GUUUAGCUCUGUUGGUUACAGUGUGGUGCUGAUAAUGCAAAGCUUGCAGGUUCAAUCCCUGUAUGGAACA